UGAGAUCAGAGUUGGUGGGUCCAGGUGGAGCCAUGGGUGUGAGACAAGCAAAAAACCUGAAAGACAUCUCAAAAGGCCAAUCUACAAUCGUGUCUUGUCUGCAGGAAUAACUGGGGAAGUUGCAUAUCUUAUAGCCUCUGGAAUAAUGGCUGACAAUCUUUCCUGCCUGUGCCUUAGCAGGACUCAGGUUCCUCUCCUAUCCCCAGCCUGAUGGCCUCCUAUUUGCUUUAAAAAAGCUGUCAUUCUAAGUCCCAAGAAGCCAUGUGCCCCCCAUGAGGACUAUGAACAUCGGGGCCUGAGUCCAUCAGGACAGAAGCCAGAGCUGUGAAGACUAUACUUGGAGGAUCCAACCGCUCCCACAAUAGCCAGGAGGCAAAAC
rnacentral:lncRNA from 1 species